rnacentral:lncRNA from 1 species
AUGCUAAUAUAUGUGUGUGCCAAAGUCAAAUCAUUUCUUGAGUGGGAACAGGUCAGUAUAGUUGUCUUUCUUUUUAUGAAAGCCAUAGAUUUAUCCAAAAUGUUGAGCAUGUUGUUAUGCUAUUUCUUUCCAAGGAAGCAGUCUGUCCUUCCUACAUUUACUGUAGUAUAAAGAUUUCUAUGGUGAAAUUUAUUUGGCACAAUGUAUUGUGUUCAAACGGUAUAAGGACUUCAAGGAGGAAAGACAGUCCACAAAAGAGUCUCUCAUCCAGAAAAGUGCCAUUGAGUCAUGAAGUGAAAAACCAUCAUGGAUUUGAAUAUAGCAGUAAAGGCAAAUCAGAGAGUUGUGUUAAGAGAAAUAGUUCAGGGAUUCAAUAUCAACAUUGAUUCCAUUGUCACCAUUCUGCAAACACAUCUUGUGUAUUGAAAAGUAUGUACUCAAUGAUUUUGUGCCAGUGAUACCAGAAUAGAAUGAAUACCAGAUCAAUAUUGCCCUGUAGCAUCUUUCCUGCUAUUAUGAACUGCCUUUCUCUGACAGAUUGUAACCAACAACAAACUAUGGUAUCACUACUUCAACUCUAAGCCAAUGAGCAUAGAAUAGAGGCACCCAUCCUCUCCAUUACCAAAGAAGUCUUGCAAAUCUCUUUCUGCAAGUAAGGAUAUAACUUUUUUUUAUGAAAAAAGUUCCAUUCUUCAUGGAAUGCUUACAAACUAGGCCAGCCAUUAGCUCAAAUGUUGUAUAUUGAAACAUUGGGUAAACACCAUCAUGCCAUCAAGAAGAAAAUGCCUGAUAAGUUGACAUAUGGAGUUAUCCUACUAUAUGUAAUGCUCAGCUCCAUGCUGCUAACAUAAGUAAUGACACCAAAAAAAUAAAAAUUGAAAUUUAAACAAAAUUUUUUCCAAUAAAAAUACAAAAUACAAAAGUUCCUAAAUUUUUGCUGAGACAUAAUAAGAAUGGGAGUGUGAACACAUCAUUUGUUUGUCUAGAUGUAAUAGGCAUUGCAGCACAAAGAAUUAGUAUUUAUAUAGACAAAGCUGAGUCUUUUUAGGUAGAAAUGUUUGAUAAAUUCUUGCAUACAAAUUAACUAGAUUGUUUUCGGCUUUAAUACGCCUUCAGACUAUAUAACUGAAGUAUACUAACUGCUGACAAGACUAACUAAAGCCAAAAUUGCACCCCUGCAACAUGACUGAUGACGCAAGAAGCAACAAUAUAUGAACCAGUACCAGAAACUUUAGGAAAUUCUAAAUUAAUGAAAAAGCUCUUAAGGAAGCAAAAAAAAGAAACCA